rnacentral:rRNA from 1 species
UACGUAGGGCGCAAGCGUUGUCCGGAAUUAUUGGGCGUAAAGAGCUCGUAGGCGGUUUGUCGCGUCUGCUGUGAAAACCUAAGGCUCAACCUUGGGCUUGCAGUGGGUACGGGCAGACUAGAGUGCGGUAGGGGAGACUGGAAUUCCUGGUGUAGCGGUGAAAUGCGCAGAUAUCAGGAGGAACACCGGUGGCGAAGGCGGGUCUCUGGGCCGAUACUGAC